AGAAGGAGUUAAUUGUGAGUUUGUUCUGCGCAUGCUCAGCUGUCACGUUCCAAAUAAAUGUUUGUUUAUUCCCGUUUAUUCAACAAGUUUAUUCCCGUGUUGAUGUCGGCUCUCCCUCACGACGGUUCGGAGCUUAAUAACACUGACAAGAAACCUAAUCCGGAGUUAGGAGACCUCCAACGUGCAGUUCUGAUCCCAUCAUUCAGGGUUUAAGGGUUGUUUGCCUGUCGGCUGACCACUUGAUGAUACGUACACCUGGAGCACUUCUUGAGGUGAAGAGUCGAGUUAUUUGGACUUUUUCUAAAUUUGUCCUUGUCUUUACGGACUUGGGAUGUCCCGCUGCUGCCUUUAGACGAGAUGGUCUGACCUCUGAAUACCUGAGCUUGCCGCUGGCACAGACCUACUUUACUGAGCAGGAUGAAGACGUCCCCACGGAAGGCCUUGGUGAAGAUGGCGUAAAGGAACGGGUUGGCGCAGGAGUUGAGUGGGUAGAAAAGCACCAAUAGUAUCUUAGAGUUUGAGACUGUGAUGAGUGGCUGGUCCAACACCGCUGACAUGGCGUAGAAGGAAAUCGGUGCCAUACACAGAAAGUCGUAGAUCUUCACGUAGCAAGCGCAGAUCACCAGAAAGGCUAUGAUGUUGAGGACCAGCACUGAGAUGACGUACACCAGAGCUUCGGUGGACUGGAUGUCCAUUGGUAGACAUAUGCUGACCUUCUGGUAGCUGCUAACCCCGACUAGAGGAAGCAGUGCUAGAAGAAGGCAGAAGAUCCAUCCGCCAAGCAUCGCUGAGGCCGCGUGGUGAAGAUGAAGCUUCCGGUCGAGCCGCAUUGCAAACGUGAUGGCGUACCACCUCUCAAGAGUGAUCACAGUUAGAGUGUAGACGGACAACUCGCUGGCAAACACGGUGAAGAAACCUGCCAGCGCACAGCCCGGGCCCGUUUGCCAGUCGAUGGCGUGGUUAAAGUACUCGGCCCGCGUGUGGAGGUCCACCGAGGCGAUAAGGAGCAGAUAAAUCCCCAUGCAGAGGUCUGCAAAAGCCAGGUGGCACAUAAGGAAGCGGGACACGGAGAGCUUGUAGUGGCUGGUGAGGAGCACCAGGAGCACCACCACAUUUCCAAGAACAGCCAGCAGACUCACAAACCACACCGACACUCUCAGGAAGGCGAAGCCCAUGAUGUCUUCGCAAGGGUUGAACUCAUCAGGCACCGGCACGCACGUCACUUCCUCACCCUCCUCGCACACCACGUAAUCGUAACGAUUAUCAAAGUCCUGACUCGUGUCCUCCUGGGGGUUCUUCAGGGUCUCACCAAAGCCGACGUUCUCAUCCGGAUGGCCCCCAAAGUAGGAGUGGUAGUGCAGGCUGCCAUGGAAGUCGCCUCUGUGAUCGGCAUCACUCGUCUGUUCCUCUGGAGCCUCCUCGAUCACAUCUUGGAGGGAUGGAGCAUGCAGGGGCGCCACAGAACGCUUGUGAUGCUGAUCAUAGAAUGCCGUCAGGUUGCAGAUGAUAUAAUCCAAAAACCUAAAAACAUGAGCAAGAUUGAUUUUAAUAAUAAUUCAAUCAUUUUUUUUACCGCUUAUCCUCACGGGGUCACGGGGGGUGCUGGCUGUCUUCGGGCGAGAGGCGGAGUACAUCCUUGGACUGGUCUCCAGCCAAUCACAGGGCACAUAUAGACAAACAACCAUUCACACUCACAUUCAUACCUAUGGACAAUUUGGAGGCGAUAAUUAACCUAGCAUGUUUUUGGAAUGUGGGAGGAAACCGGAGAAAACCCACGCUUGCACAGGGAGAACAUGCAAACUCCACACAGAGAUGGCCGAGGGUGGAAUCGAACUCGGGUCUCCUAGCUGUGUGGCCUGCAUGCUAACCACUCGGAUGUCGUGCAGCCGACUAAUAAUAAUAAUAAUAAUUACAUAACCAAAUUAAUUUGAUGUUAACGCUUUCUGACUAGUGCUGAAUUACCCAUCCCCAUUCUGGCAGUCGCCUUCCAAGGAUGAGUAGUUUUACUUUAUUGUACUUUUAUUAUACAGGAAUGGCAUUCUUGUAUGGCUGUUGAUAAUAACAUUUAUCUGUACAGUUCAGGUGCUAUGAAUAAUUGAAAAUUUUAUGUUUUAAACUUGAAAAUCAAUGUCAUGAAACAAAUAGUGUUCGAGUUUGGGGGGUUCCAUUGUAAUUCAUUCAUUCAUUUUCUGCCGCUUUUCCUCUUUUAUAUUUGUGAAAAUGUAUAAAUAUGUCAUAUAACAAUCACUCCUUGCCGUCUCAACCACUGAUGUGAAAUCUUGUUCCUGUCUGCCAUUUUUAUAAAAUGUGAUUUUAUGCUACUGUAUUCUCUGGUACUGUAUUGUAAUUUUUGCCCUUUAAGCUGUACCAGAAAUCAUAAUUUUCAAAACACUUUUCUAAAAUAUAUUUCUCAAGCUGCUGCACCCUGGUGUCCUCUGGUUCACACCAGGAGAGACAUGCUUCACGCUCACAAUGAUAUCAUUUACGUUAUAUAGACAGUACUUUUAAGGAAAGUGAUUCCUAUUAUAAGUUAUUAUAAAUCUGGCUUAUGCUUGGUCCUACAAUAACAACAUGGAGUGACACUAAUUAUGGCGGCCAAGUUAGACGUUUCUAUGUAAAUACGUCAGGGAGUUGAUUCAGUCCCCGCCAACAUCCACAUUAUGCUACACUGUGGUACAUCACCCAAAUAGCAUAAUACUGCAAACUGGGAGUUUUUUUAUUUGCUUUCAUACAACCAACACAUAACAAAUAGUGUCUAUAAAGCUAAUUUGAACAAGAACAAAAAAAAAUCCAAUUACAACAAAGCUCACCCUCGUUUCUUUUUGAGAUUUUUGAAGCCGCAGCAGUGGCUGGGGUAGGUGAGGUUAGCCGUGGUAAGGUGCUUGAAGGUUGUGAUGGGUGGCAGUUUCUUGAGCGCCCAGACAUUACGUGCCUUCAGCUCUCUUAGGGACUCCAUACCUCUGGUGGGCAAGGAGGUGAUACCCGUCUGGGAUAUGUCACUGAGGCACAGAGAAACAAAUGAAUGAGGGAAAAGCACAGAUGGUUUGUUAGAAUUAUCGUAAAACACUGCACCGAUUGGUGUUGCCUUCAACACCGAAACGUUCCAAGAGUUCAUCUUAGCUGUGUGAUCCAAAAUGGCGGCAUAAUCAAACGGGACGCUAAACAAGCAGUUAACUGAGAUACCACUGUAUAGACUCUGUGGUACUUCUUUCCCUGUGUGAGAAAUAGUUAACCCAGGGGUCAGCAACAUGCGGCUCCAGAGCCGCAUGUUGCUCUUUGGCCUCUUUGUUGUGGCUCCCUUUGCAAUGCAAACACUCGAGUGGGGAAAAUACACACCGUGUGAGUUCUGACUGGUGAUUGGAUGAGCAGACAGGACGCUAUUGCUACUUACUAUGCUACUUGUGUCACAAUUUGACAUUUGUAAAAAAAUAAAUGACAGAUCAUUUAAAAAAAAAAAACAGCAUGGGAGCUUGUUUGCGGUAGAGUGGGUAAGUUUACAGUAAUUGAUGCAUACAUUCAUGUAAGUUUAUCUCCAAUACUAGCAAAAGUACUCGAUCAACUUGUCUUUUCUUAUCUGAACUACUUUGAUACCCCAAAAUUCCUUCCAAAUUUUACGGCCAAAACCGUGGGAGACCGUGGGCCAGGGAGUAAAAUGGCUCUUUUCACAGUAAAGGUUGCCGACCCCUGAGUUAACACAUAAUCUUCAAGGACAGGCACAGAGACCAGACCAGAAAAUUAGUAAGUUAGUUGACUUAUUCAAAUAUAAGAGUUGAGGCGUCGGGUUUUAACAAGGAAAUUCCAGAAUCCCAAGGACGAGCCCUGGACAGAAUGUGUUGCUACGGACCCAAACCAAAUUGGACAUCACAGGAGACCCACCACCCUUCCUGCUCUGAGAGGAACAGUGAAGUCGCAAUGAGUCGGUCGAAGCAAGAGGGGGCGUAGUCAAUUUUAUUUAACCCAUAAUCUUCAAGGACGGGCACAGAGACCAGACCAGAAAGUUAGUUUACUUAUUCAAAAAGUUGAGGAGUCUGGUUAUUGCGGGAAGAGUUCUUACAAAGAAAUUCCAGAAUCCCAAGGACGAGUCCUGAACGGAAUGUGUUGCUAUGGACCCAAACCAAACGGGGCAUCACAGGAGACCCACCACCCUUCCUGCUCUGAGAGCAACAAUGACUAUAUCUGUCGGUCGAAGCAAGAGGGGCGUAGUCAAUUUUAAGAGCCGCCACGAUGCACCAUGAUGUUCCCCAUUCUCAGGAACGCUGCUCCUUGCUUUAAUCACUCUUACUGUUUAAAUGUAAGGCGAUUAAUCUAAAGUUGACAACCGCUUGGUGAGUCUUUAUUCAACAUAAACAAACUCGCUGUGAAAGAUAGUUCUGGUCCUUCUAGAGCAGGGGUCUCAAACACGCGUGGCCCGCAGGACACUAGUUUGAG